GGACCUCUACGCUGUGCUGUACGGUCUGUGACCCCCCCCCCCCCCGGCCAUUUUUUUCUACCAGAACAAAAGAUCUAAGUCCAUAAUAAUUUAUUACGCCUUAAAACUGAAGGAGAGUGAUGCAGGUGGAAAAGAAAAUCUAUUUUCGUUUGUAUAGACGAGGGGCGGAAAGGGGAAUGUACUGUACGGUCAGGUUUGGCUGCAAAUGUACAUUGUGUAAACUGUACAUACAGAGUAUUUUUCACUUGUGAGGGAGGUGCACAACUGGUUCAUUAUGAUAUUUUAUGUGGACGUGUACACUCGUCUAGAAAAGGUCUUGCAGACAAGUAAGAGGAUAUGGUCCUUGCCCUGAUGUGUUUGCAAACAGAGCAUCUGAUUUUUCAUGUUGUUAAGAUCUCUCGGUUCCCAUUGCGUUGGAGGCACUCAGCAUCUGCGGUGAGGAGCUUAGUCCCUUGCGAGGUGGGUUACUAAUUAAUUAUUUCACUAGAAAAAGAGAGCACAGAAAACAGAGAAAGGGAGUACAGCUCUUGGAAGAGUAUUAACUGCAAGGGGCCAGAGAGUCAGAUUGUGGUCUACUUUAUGCUACCCAGGCAACAGAAACUGGACAAAAGAACUGGCUUCAAUAACCAGUAUGGAAUUCUUGUUUAGGGGAAUCACCACAUAAUGUAUAACAAGCACUACACUUCCCACUCAAGAGUAAUGCAGGUAUCUCAACAGAAUUCUGAAAAUACGGCAUAUCACACUAGAGAAUCAUGUAUUCCCUAAAUACACAUAUAAUUUUUAUGGAAUCCACAAAACAUGCACAUAACGAAACCAAUUAUCCCCCUUUCUCCUUCCUCACCCUACUUCCUUAUGGUUUGUUAUUCUCUCAUUGCAUCACAUCUGAAACUAGGCUGUAAGCUAUUCUAGGACGCAGACCUGGUCUGUUUGUUCUGGAAAAUUCCUUGCACUCUUUUGGGCUUCAUCUAGAUAAUAAUACAUCAUGCCAAUGAUACUUCUUAACGUUGUACCUUAGAUGGUAUCGUCGUCAGAACUGCUCAGUUUCACUUCCCAGUUCUUAUCCUGCUCACAAAAAGGCACUUGUAUGCCAUACAUUUGUCUAUAGCCGUAUGCAUUAAUGUAUAGGAUGUUGCUAAACUUAUGCUGAGCAUUAUCCCGUAGCUGUCUCACACUGAAGAAACAUUGAAUUCCACUUUCGUCAACCAGAAAUAUGAUAUAAUGGUUUUACCUGUUCCAGACCAGUAGAUUUAUCCUCAAUAUCAUCUGGUAAUAGGAUGAGCAUGCUAAGGUCAUUAUUGACAUAUGGAAGUUCAGCAAUUUUGACCUUCAUUGUUUCCAAGUAGCAUAUUGGAAAUGUAUCUUUCAGAAACAUCAUCUGCACUGGUUUAGUCUUGGUCUGUGAAAUUAUAUAUCUCCAUAAGAAAAUAAAUAUUACUUCUUCUUUCUUUGAAACAUACAGGUUAGCAGUAAAUUUUUAUGACUUGCUUCAGAUGAAAUAAGAAUAAAAUUUUGAAUACAGUUUUAUGAACCAACGUUGAUUGCAUGGUUUAACAGGGUUCCUUUCAUGAGAAAAUAUUAAUUGUCCUGUUGUUUCUCUCAAAGCACUGUUUUCUGUGACCUGGACUCAUCUUCCACUCUUCCCCAGUACAUGCGUAAUAACUCACAGAAGAUGGGACAAAGGAACCGGAAAAUUCUGCAAGGAUCACCUCAAUGAGUUUCCUGACCAGUGUUCCUAUUACAGGGAAGACUUCUGAGGAGACAGAGCAGGGGGGGCUCACAGCUCCCAACACUGAAAAUUCUGGGGAACUUCUAAGUACAAGGAGAAAGGUCACUGCAUGCAGGGGCUGCUUUGGUCUCUUCUCCACCCUGGCAGAACAGAAUAACAUUGCCUUUGGCUGACUCUCUGGUGGCUUAGUAGUAGCAGUUGUAGAGUGGAUUCUACAGAUAUUAAUGAUGCCCCAUGGAUAAUAAAUACAAAAACUCAGUGUUUGUAAAGUUUCAUGGAUGCAGGAAGAUCACUUAGUUUCAGUUAUGGAGGAGUGCUGUGCAAAAGGGUGUGUGUUUGUGUGCUAUAUUUAGCUGCAUGAGAAAGUUAGUAAUUUUGGUUUGCAGGAGUUUCAUGAAGUCCUUUACAAUUUCACUUCAUAUGUGUUUGCAACUCCUGAGUUCCAGUUUGAGUUUCAGGUGUGAAGGAACCCAGAAUCUUACUGUGAAAGCCAGACAGGACUGUCAGGCUUUUCCUGAUAUUUUGCUUCGUUCCCACACAAACUUUUAAAUCUCUCCAUGAUAGUUGAAAUUAAGCCCACAUUUGUUUAAAACUGUAUCAUUGAUAUAACCAGAUCUAUAGACUUCACCCAUCACUAUAGUAUUUGAGGACCAGUUUUUAAAGUAUUUAGGUGUUGCUCCAUUCAGUGUUUCAAUGCCUAACUUACUUAGAAGCCUGAAUCUCAUUUUCAGAAGUGACUUAGGGAACUGUUUGAGAACAUUUUUCUAUAUACUGAAAAGUCACAACCCUACAGUCAAAUAAUAUGGGUGCGUUUGUUAGAAAACCAGUUUGACUUAGUAUAAAAGUGAAAGCACCUAUAUAUAUGUAUAUAUAAAUAUAUAAAACAAAUGAAGAGAAAGUUGGGACAAUGAAUAUAUAUUAGAAGCUACAGAGUGUAGAAAAUUGAUAAAGGAAGGCAAAGGGCACAAAGAAAACUAUGACCAUCAGA